GGCCGACUAGCUCAGCUGGUUAGAGCGUCGUGCUAAUAUACGCCCUUUCCCGUGAAGGGGGGGGGUACUAUGUUCACGCGACACGCGAAGGUCUUGGGUUCGAUCCCCACGUUGGCCA